rnacentral:lncRNA from 1 species
GACGUGGCCCCGCCCUCUGAGAACCCGGAAGCGGGAGUCUCGCGCCAGCUGAGCGGCGGUCGGGCGGGGGGAGCGCGGCGGCCCAAGCUCGCUCGGCCACGCGCCCCGCCCCCUCAGAGGCCGGCCUCCCGCACGCACCGCGCAGCCUGCUGUGCCCGUGGGUCCCGAGUGCUCCGCCGCCCGCCCCGACCCGGGCCCAGCCGCCUCCACGGCCCGCGCUCGUACUGGAGCGAAGAGCGGCCUCCUGAAGGAGGGGAAGGGACGUGGGGGCGGCCACGGCAGAUUAUUGUGGAUGAUGAUGACAGUAAGAUAUGGUCGCUCUAUGACGCGGGCCCCCGAAGUAUCAGGUGUCCUCUCAUAUUCCUGCCCCCUGUCAGUGGAACUGCAGAUGUCUUUUUCCGGCAGAUUUUGGCUCUGACUGGAUGGGGUUACCGGGUUAUCGCUUUGCAGUAUCCAGUUUAUUGGGACCAUCUCGAGUUCUGUGAUGGAUUCAGAAAACUUUUAGACCAUUUACAAUUGGAUAAAGUUCAUCUUUUUGGCGCUUCUUUGGGAGGCUUUUUGGCCCAGAAAUUUGCUGAAUACACUCACAAAUCUCCUAGAGUCCAUU